AUGCUUAACACAUGCAAGUCGAACGGAUGCUUCGGCAUCAGUGGCGCACGGGUGAGGAACGCGUGGGAACCUGCCUUUCGGUUCGGAAUAACCAAGGGAAACUUUGGCUAAUACCGGAUACGUCGGAGUGCCUUGGCGGCAUUCCGGGAAAGAUUUAUCGCCGAUAGAGGGGCCCGCGUCCGAUUAGGUAGUUGGUGAGGUAACGGCUCACCAAGCCUGCGAUCGGUAGCUGGUCUGAGAGGAUGAUCAGCCACACUGGGACUGAGACACGGCCCAG
rnacentral:rRNA from 1 species